GACAGUAGAGGGAGACGGGGAAGGGGAUGCAAUUUCGAGGGGUGGUUUGCACAUGGCUGUGGACAAUAAAGGGAUGAGGGGUCUGAGAUGGGAUGCGAAGCGAAGCAGGUUGACAGAAGAGAGUGAGCACCCGCCGGAGGUAAAUGGCAUGACAGGGUGCUGUUUCCGUUGCGUGCUCAAAUCUCUUGUUGUCAACCUUUCGCUGUUAUUUCUUCUGUGAUCAUACUUGGAAAUACGCUCCCCUCCCCACCCGAGAAGAGAGAGAGGGAGAAAGAGAGUCAUCGAACCUUGUCUCACCCACCCCCCGAGGCUGUCUUUUACUUGUGUGUUUCGGCUGCCGCGUUGCGAUGUUUUUUGCUUUGCUUCGCCGUCUGUCUUAUCGUAUCUGCCAAUCAGCUCGUCGGAUUUGUGUGGGUGAAGAAGCGCGUGCUUAAUUGCCUCUCUGGUUUUCUCUCUCUCUUUUCAUUAAUGCUUAUAUUGCUCUAGAAAUUGGGAAAUUGUAAGAAUAAGCGUGUCUGUUGAAAAGGGAGGUAAGAGAGAGAGAGAGAGAGAAAGAGAGAGGGAGGGAAGAGGGAGUAGUAUUGUCCGUCUCUGUCCUGUUAGUAAUGAAGCCUCUGAGAGACAGAGAGAGAGAGAGAGAGAGAGAGAGAGAGAGAAUAGAAAGAGUACAGUACUACACAUUGAAGCACGCGGUGCCGCCUCAUCGGAAGGCACUGUUUGACCAAUUCUACUCUCCUUCUCGGUGUUCUCCUAUCUUUUCUGUCGUCCUUCUUGCUUUUGCUUUCCUCUCCUCUACUUUUCUCUUGCCUGUUGCGGAUAGGGUUUUGAGCGUUUCAACAAAACAUGGAUUCAAGCUGUGAGGAUCCGUGGAGUGAAGGUGCUCCCCGAGGUUCAUGCCCACCAUCGUCCAUUCCUGGCCAUCUAACUGUGUUUUCUUUCGUUUGCGCUCGAGACCAUUUCCUCACCACCUUGAUGGGCUGUUGCUUUGCCAACUUGAACAAAGACUCGCUGCUCCGACGAGCGGAAAGGGGUGAGCUUUGUUGCCCUUCCCCAUGCCUGAUCGAUUCAUCUCCACAAGCUUUUGUGGAAAGAAGCCAAUGAAUCAUCGCUGGUAUCUCUCUGGUGCACUCAAUCUCUCCAUCUAGCUUCUGUUGUUUUUAUCUUUGCUAGGUUGGUGGUGGUGGUCACUUGCCCCUUCGUUGCCGUGGUUUAUAUGUCGCAUCCGUCAUUCGCCCUUCUUCCUCCCACCUCUCCCUCUCUUCAAUCUGGCACGACAUGCCAAAAAAGGAAAAAGGGAACAUACCAUAGAGGGUCUUGUGCGUCUGUUGUUUUCCCCCGCUCCACAAGUUGUUCAGAAGAUGGUACUUCCGAUCGUGGUCCACCGUUCAUCAUACACCACUCAUGUGCUUCACCAUUGUUUGUCGAAUGAUUUCUUAGAAAACGAUCGAUCAUUGAAGAAGAUGAAGUAUUUUUAUCCAAAUUCUCCCUCUAAACAUAGAGAGGGUAUUUUCAUAAUUUUAAGCAUGAUUUUUCAUGUUACAGAAAGAGGAAUCUUAUCAUCGUACAUACAAAGCCUGUCCUUAUCAAUUUAGUCUAAUGAACCCACUGCAACAAAUUAUACUUUUAGCAGCGGUUUUUAUUUAUAUAUCCUUGCAAUUUUAACUGUAGCAAACUCUAUUCCUGCAGUUAGUUAGAAACAGUGGCAGUAGGUGCCAUCGCCAAAAGAUAUUACUACGAUUUUUACGACCGCAGGUAAACGCCUACAUGUAUGUUACUGUGGUGAUUCAACCUCAAUAAUAAUUUUUUUUUCCUACAAAUAAAAACCAUAUUAAUAGAUAUAUGACAAACACUGUAAUAGUUUAGUUAUUACUGUAAUUGUUCAACUACAAUAAUAGAUACUUUUAUCCUACAGAAGGAUAAUCACAUUAACAAUUCAUAUAUUUAUGCUACUAUUCAAUUACAUAAAUAAAUACUUUAAUCCAAUGAAUAACCAUCCACAACAACAGUACAUACUAACUACAACAGUAAUUCAUGAUUCACAAAAAAGAAUAUAAUAUUCUUCUAAUAACCAUAUCAAUUGAUAUAAAAAUACAUUCAAUUUCAUACGUAAAUGCAAACAAACAACCUUUCUUUUGAAAGUUUUGAGUAGGAUAAUAUAAAAAAAAUUACAAAAGAGAUGCUUCUCUUGCACUUCUCUCAAAGUCUGAAACCUGCAUAGGGUGAAUAAUAUUAAUUAGAUUCAUAAUUAUAAAUAAAAAAAAAGAUAAAAGAAGUUUUAGAUUUUACUUAUAUUAUUUGUUCGAGGAGUUUUCUCAUCCACAAGUAUUUAUAAUUGAGUUUGCAUUUCUUUCGAGUAUUUUUUUCAAGUUUUUUCCUUCAGUUGUCGUAUUUCUUUAUCUUUCUCAUUCUCAUACUGUAUAGUCAUAGAUAUUAAAGAAUAAUAUUUGGAUACUACAAAAUCCAAAGGAGAUGGUCCUAUCGCAUAUAUCUUGAUUUCUUUGGUUUGAAUAUUUGAUAAACGAUAUCUUUGUUGAUCUUGAUAGGAAGAAGAAAUAGAGCUAUCAAACAGAGGAAGAGUGAGACAAGCUUCGAUCUUCUAUAUUUCUCUCAAGAAAGCUCUUUACGAUUUCAAAAACUCUAUCUGUUUCAUGACGCAAUAUUUGGGGUUUAUAUAGUCCCCAAAGAUAUGUUACAUUAAUUAUAUUCAAAAUAAAUCAUUCUCUUUAAGAAAUCCUUUCAAAAAUCAAUAACCAAUUUGACUUGUCUUUUCAUAGACAUUUAAUCUAUUUUUUUUCUUGGUAUAAUGAAUCUUCCUCUUGUUGCAAUGAACAUUUCUUUUGACGAAAUUAAUCUCUUUAUGACACUUGAAUAGGUUUAAUUCCAACAUUCUCCCCCCUUAACUUGUUCCAUCUAACAUACCAAGUUUCUUUCGAAGUUGUUGAAAUAUUUCAAUUUUAAGAGGUUUUGUAAGUAUAUUGAUAACUUGUUCACUUGUCUUGACAUGAUGUAGCUCCAUUUCUUUAUUUUUAAUAUGAUAUCUUAUGAAAUGAAAUCUUAUGUCGAUAAGCUUCGAUCUUUCAUGGUAGAUUAGAUUCUUGGCUAAGGCAAUAGCUGAUUUAUUAUUAACAUAAAUCUUGGUUGACUUCUCCUAUGAUAUAUGAAGUUCUUGGAGUAAUUUUCUUAGCCAGAUUGCAUGACAAAUACUAGAAGAAACUACUAUAUAUUCUGCUUCACAACUUGAUAGAGCAACGAUCCAUUGCUUUUUUGAAGACCAAGUAAAUGUAGCUUCACCAAAAUAAAAUACAAAUCCAUUUGUACUCUUCCGAACAUCGUAGCUUCCUACCCAAUCAUGUUGGUGUCAACAACCUGAAGCCGUGGCCUCGGGGCCAACACGGUUGGGUUCGGGUCCGAAUGAUUGGGGAUCUUCCUGAGCGACCCUUGAGACUGUUGAGGUGAUCGACUGCGGUGGUUCGAUCGCGACGGGACGACUGUUUUCUCUGGAAGGGAACUCCUCGCCUGGGCACGCGGUGGGAGGCGCUCCGUCUUCGUCCCUACACACAGGUCGGGUUGGGAGGCUCGACCUGACCCCUUCGACGAUCAAGUCAGUUGAUGGUCACAGGGGGUUUUUAUAUUCUGCUUCACAAUUUUUUUUAUAGUUAUUAAUGGUACUGAGUGAUGAAGCAUUUUUCUCGAAACGACCUAUCGAUGGUCGCAGAUGAUAAAACAUUCAUAAUAUAAUGUUAAUGAUAGUGAAUAAUGAAACUCUUCCUCAUGCAUUAUUGGCAUUGAUGAUAGUGAAGGAAAAACCCUCUCUCUAUUGUUAUAUCGAUAUUAAGAUAUAAAAAUAUAGAGAGAAAAUAAAAGAUAAUCACAUAGCUAGAGAUGCUGCUUUCCACAUAUUUUUUUGCUACGGUAAUUUCAUUUUUUUUGUAGUGAUCGGACUCUAAUAAUAUGAUAGUUUUCUUGUGCUAAAAGAUUGUGAACUUAAUGUGAAGAAUGGAAGAAAUCACAUGCAAGUACAGUCCUUUCUCAAAUAAUAGUAAUUAGGUACUACUACUAGCCUAAGAUCAAACCAAAUAAAAGAAUAAGGAACCAAGGAGAAAAGAAAAAUUAUAUUAAACUUCUUAAAAAGAAAACACUUACGGAUCUUGAAUUACUCUUGAACUUUAGUUUUAUAGACAUAAACACUUAGAUUUGGAUAGAUCUAUAAGUAGAUGUCAUCUAUUUAUAGGUGUGAGAUACAAUUUAAACCAAAAGUCUCGUAUUCCUAUAACUCUAUUUAAUCAACUUAUUUAAAAGAUAAGAUAAUAAUUUAAGAUCUUUCAUAAGAUAUAUUUUAACUUUUAACACUUAAGGUAGAACAUUAAGUGAGAUUGAUUUGAUUUUGGAUCUCGUUGCAUAAGCUCAUUUUAGGAUAUCAAAAUCUAUAUUUAUGGGGUGUGGGUAAAAUAUUUUGAUUGUUAGGGCAAUCUACCCAACAUGCUUGAAUACUCCAACCUUGUAACAUCAAGCAAUUAGGGUUGUGUCGCCUUUAUUAAGGUCUGAACAUACGCUUUCAAAUGAAUUAUACCAAUCACCUUUAUUUUUAUUUUUUUAUUAUUUUUAUACUUAAGGGCCUAAAAAAUAAAGUUGUAACUAAAAAAUAUAGAAAAUGAUUAAAUUAAUAAAAAUAUAUUCUUUUUAUGAUGUGAGAUUAUAUUAUUUUUUCAAUUAUAUGAAUUUUUUCAUCCAUAUAAGAGAUGUGCUAAGGUAUGGGAUCUUCAUCGUCGCAAUCAAUCUUUGAACUAAAAUGAGUCCCUUUUUUUAAUUCCACAACUAUAAUCUCCAAAUAAAUAAUUUUUUUGUCCAUCAGACCUUUGCCCUAUAUGGCCUUUGGAAAAGAAUUUAUGCUAUAUCAUAUUAGGGACAAAAUAACUUGUCCUAGAUCACUCCAUUUUGAUAAUUUCCUAGACGGGAUCAUGCUUAUUGAGUAUCCAGAAAGGCACCAUAUAAUGUAUUUUAUUCGUGACUGUAACCUUGAUUUCAGAUCUUUUCAUGUUUUGUCCAUAUUUUGCUCUGAAUAUUGGAUUGCCGCUUAGAAUUGCUAUGAUCUCAUUGUUAACAUGAUCAUCUUUAGGUUACCCCAACAUUAAAUUUAGACUAACUUAAUAUGCACAAAGUCAGAUUUUUGACAUGUACAUUAGGUUUCAACUGCGUUAGCAAUGGAAUACAACUUAUCAUCAGUUUUUAUCAUUAGUAAUGACAUAUAUACAUUAGUUUACAUGUGCCUUUGUAAUGAUAUGUACAUUAUUAGUGUAUGAUAGUUCUUCAUUGGCAAAUUUUCUGUUUGUGGAUUAUGUAAAGGAGUCCCCACUUGAUGAUUUGAUGUUGACAACGUUUGUCUGACCGAGCUUUGUAUACAAAUUUGGGACCUAACUUUGAGCUUUUAAAGCAAAACUGUCAAAAUUCAGGAAGUGGUAAUAUAUACAACUCUUUACUCUAUGAUCAACAACUCUCCUAGAUGCCCAUUACUAUCUCACCACACUACAAUAGGCUUCUUGUAUUCCUCAAACUUUUCACUCGAGAUAUCAAAUUCUUGUUGAUUUGGGAGUAUGACAUUAUCAUGAUUGAAAUUUUAAUGCAAGUAUUAGUAGUGGAAUAAAUACUAGUCAUUUUCACUAGUAUACAACUUCUUAGAGAAAAAAACUAUUAUCCUGACAUGGUCAUAGGCUUUGAGGCAAAUCUUUGACAUAUAAAAAUAGUAUGUGACUGUGUUCCAAGGGAUAUGGGCUGUUGAUUAGUUUUAGGAAGAGGAAGAGUGUCCCAAGAGAUAUGCCAUAACAUUUGUUGCACUAUUGUACCUAGGAACUGCAGCUAAUUUUGGCUUUGAGGCAUUAUUAUGAACCUUGAUUAAGGACUCAACAGAUAUUUAGUGGCAAUGACUAGAACUUUGUAGGGUUAAAUUAGAGCAGAUGCUAUAAGAAUAACAAAAGGAUUUGAGUCCUCAUGUAACAAUCUUUUGAUCUAGAGGGUUAGAGCUAUGUAGAUUAAAGCUUCCUAAAUCCUAUAUCGGUAGAAGUUCAUGCAUUAGAUCACCUCUUUCUUUUCUUUUUUUAAAUCAACCCCGAAUAGUUGCAAUAUCAUGACUUGUUGUUGUGUACAAUAGUAGCAACUGUUGUUUAUAUUUUGAGGAAAUAAAUAGAAUUGCGAUAAAUUAUAGCGAUCACUGAAGCGAAAAUCUGAGUAAGAAAAAGAUGUAAUGUCAUCGGCAACGCUUGUAGGAUUGACAAAGAAUCUUCACUGAUAAUAGGCUGCACAAUUGGGAUCAAUGCGAUUGACUAGAGUAGUUCAAGAUUAGUCAAUAAAGGUAUAUAUGAAAUGAUAAAUUGGUAUCAAAUUUUAUUUGGUUACUCUUAGUAAAGUAUUAAUUGUCAAAUAAAUUUAGUUGUGUUUGGUUCUUGUGCUAUAAAAGAUAUAUUAUACAUCAUAACUUGCAGGUAGUGAUCUCAUAGUACUGUGUUUUAUGCAACUGCAUUUGCCAAUGGGCAUAUCUGUUUUUUCUCAAUAUAUGGAGACAGGUUUAUAUUUGCAUUUAUUUAAAUUGCAACCAUAUAUAUUUUUUAUUUAUGUUGCCUUUUGUCAUUGUUGUCAUGCAUCAAAGUGGCGUGGUUUGCAAAAGACAGCUUACAACAUAGAGAGGGAGAGAGAGAAAGAGAUGAUUACUCAUUUCACUCGGUGCAAAGUUCUUACAUAGACCUUUUUGUACCUAAAUGUUGGAUGGCAAAGUGACACUAAAUUGCAAUCGUUUUGAUGGCUUUGUGGAUUUA